GUCCUCCCCUUUUGCUCAUAAGUAAGCUCUUCUCCACGGCGUAUUUUUACUCUUACCUUCCUUUCUUUCAUUCGCUUUCUUGUUUUUGGCUCAAGCAGUAGGUCCUUCGACCCUCAAAGCAAUACGGUAUGCUCCUUCUAUGCUGUCCAGAAAAGACAAAUGCAAUUCAUUCAGCUCGAAUAUUGCCUUUUGUCUUCCUCCUUCACUCUACAUCGUAGAGACAAUAGGUUAAACUCCUUCAUGUACUUUCUCAUAGAAAUUUUGGAAAAACCUUGUUUCAGAUUCUUAAACUUAUUUAUGAAUUCCGCUUCGACAUCACCUGGUAGAAAUUAAUCCUUAAACUUCAGAACUUCUUGUUCUUCGUAGCGCUUCUCCUCCAGCUCCCUCUUCUGUCGUACAUGUGCUCACCAUAAACCUGCCUUUUUGUUUUCUUCAACUUCGUGGUAAUGAAAUGUACCCGCUCCGGGUCCGAAAUCUCUUUUAGUUCGAAAUACUGGUCCAUCGCGAUUAACCAGUCUAAGACCACGUCACGGAGGGGUCUCGGCUUCCAGAAAAAAAAGUUAGUAACUUCUACGCUAGUCUUCACAAUUACUCCACUUCCCUAAUUAUCUGUGCUUCUCCUCCUCCUUCCCUUCCUUGCUUCGAGGAGGUUAUAUAAUAGUAACAGAAGGAGACAGGUAUAGAAUAGAAGUCCGCCCCAGUCACUAAACCUAGCUCACCAAGCCUUAGGAGUGCUCCGCCGUGGGCUUGUAGCGACGGAAUCUUGUUUCCGAUAGAGCACCAUUGAUUGGUCUAUUGGCAAAGGAAACCCGGGAAUUCAAGAUUUUGUUCUGUCCUCCGGACAUUUAUUAUGCUG
rnacentral:lncRNA from 1 species